UUGGUGGGGUAAUGGCCUACCAAGGCUUUGACGGGUAGCCGGCCUGAGAGGGUGACCGGCCACACUGGGACUGAGACACGGCCCAGACUCCUACGGGAGGCAGCAGUGGGGAAUAUUGGACAAUGGGCGGAAGCCUGAUCCAGCAACGCCGCGUGAGGGAUGACGGCCUUCGGGUUGUAAACCUCUUUCAGCACAGACGAAGCGCCUGUGAAGGUGGUGACGGUAUGUGCAGAAGAAGCACCGGCCAACUACGUGCCAGCAGCCGCGGUAAUACGUAGGGUGCGAGCGUUGUCCGGAAUUAUUGGGCGUAAAGGGCUCGUAGGCGGUUUGUCGCGUCGGGAGUGAAAUCCACUGGCUUAACUGGUGGCUUGCUUUCGAUACGGGCAGACUGGAGGUAUGCAGGGGAGAACGGAAUUCCUGGUGUAGCGGUGAAAUGCGCAGAUAUCAGGAGGAACACCGGUGGCGAAGGCGGUUCUCUGGGCAUGUCCUGACGCUGAGGAGCGAAAGUGUGGGGAGCGAACAGGAUUAGAUACCCUGGUAGUCCACACCGUAAACGUUGGGCGCUAGGUGUGGGAUCCAUUCCACGGGUUCCGUGCCGCAGCUAACGCAUUAAGCGCCCCGCCUGGGGAGUACGG
rnacentral:rRNA from 1 species